rnacentral:misc_RNA from 1 species
GAUCAUUACUGAGUUUACGCUCUAUAACCCUUUGUGAACAUACCUAUAACUGUUGCUUCGGCGGGUAGGGUCUCCGCGACCCUCCCGGCCUCCCGCCCCCGGGCGGGUCGGCGCCCGCCGGAGGAUAACCAAACUCUGAUUUAACGACGUUUCUUCUGAGUGGUACAAGCAAAUAAUCAAAACUUUUAACAACGGAUCUCUUGGUUCUGGCAUCGAUGAAGAACGCAGCGAAAUGCGAUAAGUAAUGUGAAUUGCAGAAUUCAGUGAAUCAUCGAAUCUUUGAACGCACAUUGCGCCCGCCAGCAUUCUGGCGGGCAUGCCUGUUCGAGCGUCAUUUCAACCCUCAAGCUCUGCUUGGUGUUGGGGCCCUACAGCUGAUGUAGGCCCUCAAAGGUAGUGGCGGACCCUCCCGGAGCCUCCUUUGCGUAGUAACUUUACGUCUCGCACUGGGAUCCGGAGGGACUCUUGCCGUAAAACCCCCAAUUUUCCAAAGGUUGACCUCGGAUCAGGUAGGAAUACCCGCUGAACUUAAGCAUAUCAAUAAGCGGAGGAAAAGAAACCAACAGGGAUUGCCUCAGUAACGGCGAGUGAAGCGGCAACAGCUCAAAUUUGAAAUCUGGCCCUAGGCCCGAGUUGUAAUUUGCAGAGGAUGCUUUUGGUGCGGUGCCUUCCAAGUUCCCUAGAACGGGACGCCAGAGAGGGUGAGAGCCCCGUACAGUUGGACACCAAGCCUUUGUAAAGCUCCUUCGACGAGUCGAGUAGUUUGGGAAUGCUGCUCAAAAUGGGAGGUAUAUUUCUUCUAAAGCUAAAUACCGGCCAGAGACCGAUAGCGCACAAGUAGAGUGAUCGAAAGAUGAAAAGCACUUUGAAAAGAGGGUUAAACAGCACGUGAAAUUGUUAAAAGGGAAGCGCUUGUGACCAGACUUGCGUCCGGUGAAUCACCCAGCUCUCGCGGCUGGGGCACUUCGCCGGCUCAGGCCAGCAUCAGCUCGCUGUCGGGGACAAAAGCUUCAGGAACGUAGCUCUCUGCGGGGAGUGUUAUAGCCUGUUGCAUAAUACCCUUCGGCGGGCUGA